AUGAGGUCACACACUCUGCUCAUCUCUGUGCUAGUUUUCUUUGUGAAGGAUGCCAGUGGAGACAUUGUGCUGACUCAGACUCCAGAAUCCCUGUUGGUGUCUCCAGGAGACAGAGUCACCAUCAACUGCAAAGCCAGCACAAGCAUCAGCAGCUACAUAGCCUGGUACCAACAGAAAUCAGGACAAGCCCCUAAGCUCCUGUUCUAUGGUACUUCCUCCCGUCCCUCUGGGGUCCCAGACCGGUUCACUGGCAGUGGGUCUGGCACUGAUUUCACUUUGACAAUCACUAGUUUUCAAGCUGAUGAUGCUGGCAGUUAUUAUUGUCAACAGUACUAUGACUGGCCUCUCACACAGUGA